AUACAUUGUAUGUGUGUGUAUGUACAUUUGUAUAUAUAAAUGCACACUUACAUGUAUACACACAAAUAUAUAAACAGAGA
rnacentral:miRNA from 1 species